UACAGAGGGGGCAAGCGUUGUUCGGAAUUACUGGGCGUAAAGGGCGCGUAGGCGGCCUGCUAAGUCGAACGUGAAAUCCCUGGGCUCAACCCAGGAACUGCGUCCGAUACUGGUUGGCUUGAAUCCGGGAGAGGGAUGUGGAAUUCCAGGUGUAGCGAUGAAAUGCGUAGAGAUCGGAAGGAACACCCAAGGCGAAAGCACUCUGCUGGGCCGACACUGACACUGAGAGACGAAAGCUAGGGGAGCAAAUGGG
rnacentral:rRNA from 1 species